rnacentral:rRNA from 1 species
AUGUCAAGACCAAAGAAGCAAACUGCUCUACAGGGAAGGAGCAAGUCUGACUCUAAUAUUGUGCCGGACACACCUAGGAUUUUGGAUCAUAAUGGAAGGCCUAGCGCAGGCCCCGAUAUAUCAAAUUUCGCCAAUCCAGUGAAUUUCUCAGUACUGAACCUUGAUCUUAAGAAUCUAGCUGAUCUGCAGCAGAAUAUGAAGGACUGCAUUGGCUCGCAUAGGUUCUGGACGUAUGCCAAUACUGACAAAAUAUACAAAUCUCCACAUGGAUCAAUGUCAUGGCAAGUUCCAAAAUCUGGGACCUAUUUUCAGUAUGUGAAGUACAGAAAUAACUGGAUGUGCUUAGUUGGAAUAGCAUCUCAAAGCUGGUUGAAGGGGGUCAUCACGAAGAAACAUGUCGCCGAGUUUCAAGAUUCUCAAUCUGAUGAUAAAAAGGCGACCUACAUCCUGACAGACCGUCCAAAGGCUGUACUAAAAUCUAAAGGAAAUUAUAUGCCAGGUGUAGAAAAAACAAAGCUUGGCCCGUGGUGGCUUAGGCGGUCAUUUGAUUCUGUAUAUAACGUUGUUACUGAUGAAAGUGGGGAUCACGGAGACAUUGAUGAAGCCUUUACCAUAUUUGUUGUUCAUCUUUGGGACACUGUCCGGAAUGAUGAAGUAAAGGAUCUUGUCUUGGGUAGCUAUGACCCCUCGGUCCUUGCCACAAAUUACCUAGGGACUGGCCCUGUUGGACUUAUGAAAAAAUGGCAAAGGUGUUCUACACGAGCAAUCAACUCCAUUGAGAAAAAUGAACCUUACCAAAUCCAGCAUGAUACUAGUCCGACCUCAGCUUCUGAGCUGCUUCAGGUUGUAAGGGUUCUUUACCGAGGUGAUCAAGAUUGUACACCAGUCAAUGAUGAUUCGAUGCCAAUUAAGUUGAAUGGUGUGGAUGAGCUUAGGCACGGGGACCAGGAAGGAGAAGAUCCAGCUCCCGACAGAGACAUGCAUGCAAGUGGCUCCAGCUCUUCUACUCCAAAAUAUCCCAACUGGGUUCUUGAUAGCUCAUCGGCGUUCAACGAACAGCAACAACAACAACAUCAUGACCAAGGACAAAUAAGUUAUGCCUGGGCGAGCAAGAUGGCCUCGACUGUUGCUGUUGAAGAUGUUAGUUAUAUCAGGGCCAAUGACACGUCUUGUAGCACUGGUGGCUUCUUUACUGAGGAAAGGACAGAAAAUACCGAUCUGAAAAGAACUGAAAGGUUGCCCCCUCUUCCAUUUUUUGGACAUUUAAAGGAAGUGCAGCUGCACAGUGAUGAACUUAAAGAACAUAUCAAGCACCAAUGUGCUAAUCAUGUGAAAUACACUGCUUAUGGUGGCUCUAGCAGAGAAUUUGAUGGUGGUUUUACCAUAGCUAGGUCAGCAAAAGAGCCUAUUGCCUGGAGGGCCAAAAGCUUGGUUGGGAGCCAUGUAGCUUUCUGCUUAAUGGAAAACUUCACUGAUCUGCAAAAUACUGGUACCAACGUGCUAAUACUCUCAGCUCUCUCACUUGAUCACGUGAGAGAAUUUAUUCUUGUUGAGGCCAAGAAGCCCUGUGAUGUUGCAGAGGCCAAGAGCAAGAGAGUGACUGACGGACCAGCAAAAUGGUAUCCCCCGCAGCUGCAAAAUACUGUUGCUGUCGCACUGGUGGAGAGUGGGAAGAGGCUGCGUCUGGCGAGUUCCGCUAUGGCGGUAGCAGUUGGGGAACUUGCAGGUGAAGCAGAAACAUGGGCAGUGGUUACAGAUACAGGAAGGACAGAAAUGAGAAGAUGGCCAUUCAAUCAAGAUGGAUGCAGUUGCUGGCCUGAAGCUGCUGAUUGCGAUGCAAAGAGGAAAGAAAGCACCCAAGGAGAGGAAGCUUUCACAGCUGGGGGAGUGGAGGCGACGAUGAACCAUCUGGUGGAGAUGAUCAGGCAGGAAGGGAAGGUGGACACAGCGAAUGCAGUGAACUCAGCAGUGGCGCUAAAUAAGUCCACCAUGUGGGGUCUUCUCCUGGCAAUGCGAAGACUGGAGCUGGAUCUCGUCGCCAUGAAGACGAACAUGAACUUGCGGUUUGGUCACGGAGAAUCCACGGAGUGGAUCAGAAGCUGGUGA